rnacentral:rRNA from 1 species
CACGGGGGGAGCAAGCGUUGCUCGGAAUCACUGGGCGUAAAGGGUGCGUAGGCGGGUCUUUAAGUCAGGGGUGAAAUCCUGGAGCUCAACUCCAGAACUGCCUUUGAUACUGAAGAUCUUGAGUUCGGGAGAGGUGAGUGGAACUGCGAGUGUAGAGGUGAAAUUCGUAGAUAUUCGCAAGAACACCAGUGGCGAAGGCGGCUCACUGGCCCGAUACUGACGCUGAGGUGCGAAAGCGUGGGGAGCAAACAGG